rnacentral:rRNA from 1 species
AGCGAACGCUGGCGGCAGGCCUAACACAUGCCAGUCGAACGAACUCUUCGGAGUUAGUGGCGGACGGGUGAGUAACACGUGGGAACGUGCCUUUUGGUUCGGAAUAACUCAGGGAAACUUGUGCUAAUACCGAAUGUGCCCUUCGGGGGAAAGAUUUAUCGCCAUUAGAGCGGCCCGCGUCUGAUUAGCUAGUUGGUGAGGUAACGGCUCACCAAGGCGACGAUCAGUAGCUGGUCUGAGAGGAUGACCAGCCACACUGGGACUGAGACACGGCCCAGGCUCCUACGGGAGGCAGCAGUGGGGAAUCUUGCGCAAUGGGCGAAAGCCUGACGCAGCCAUGCCGCGUGAAUGAUGAAGGUCUUAGGAUUGUAAAAUUCUUUCACCGGGGACGAUAAUGACGGUACCCGGAGAAGAAGCCCCGGCUAACUUCGUG